rnacentral:lncRNA from 7 species
AAAACCUGUUGUCUUCUGAUGUGGCCUCGGUUUGGCUCCAGGUGUUUCUGGGGCUGCUUGCUUUUAGUGCACACGAGAGCCGCCGUGCCUGGCUGCAGGGAGUGAGAGCUCCCGACCAGCUGUCAGAAAAACCUUCUGCUUGGCACUGCCUUUGCCGGUCCCCCUGAGUACAGCACUGAUGGUACUGACUGACCUCUCUGCCAGCACAGGUCUUGGCUUAGCGAGUGUUAAGGAGUUCUUUCUCUGAUCUUUACACAGACAUGCAUGGACACACUGAGCAGCACGCAGGGUUGUGGCUGUGGCAGGCAGCCCUGCAGUGAGCCUUGCUGCAUGCACCACGCAGGUCCCAGCUGUAUCUCAGCAUCCUUUUUCCUCUGUCCUCUCCCCUUGCUGUGCCUGACAGUCAGAUCACAGCUUUCUGGCACACUGACAGAGCUGCUAAGGCUUAAGAAAGGACCCAUCAGCAGAAGCUCCAGAAUCGGUUUUUGUUUUGGCCCGGGAGCAGUUGAAGGAUGGCACAAGUGAUAGCCCAGCACAUAGCCAAGCAGCAGCAAAUGGGUUACAGAGCAGAACUGAAGAAGCCUGGCCACCUAUGCCUCUGACCACCUCGUGGGAACAUCAGGCCAUUUCAGGCACGUGCUGCGUGUUGCCGAGGUAGUACGCGAGGAAAGAGUCAGCAGGACAUGCUGGAAGAAGAAAUCAAUUGGGAUGAGG